CCUACGGGGGGCUGCAGUUAGGAAUUUUGCGCAAUGGACGAAAGUCUGACGCAGCAACGCCGCGUGAGGGAUGAAGGCCUUCGGGUCGUAAACCUCUUUUAGUUGGGACGAAAAAAAUGACGGUACCGACAGAAACAGCACCGGCUAACCCUGUGCCAGCAGCCGCGGUAAUACAGGGGGUGCAAGCGUUACUCGGAAUUACUGGGCGUAAAGAGCGUGUAGGCGGCUUGACAAGUCUGAUGUGAAAUCCCUGGGCUCAAUCCAGGAAGUGCAUU
rnacentral:rRNA from 1 species